rnacentral:lncRNA from 1 species
ACUCUCUUCCCUUGCUGCAGCAACUGCACAGAGCCUGUGCUUAAGAUGGCAGGAUCGCAAGACAGAGCAACUGGAGCAAGUCCUCAUUAAGAAGAGCCGCCCGAUGCAUUUGGACUGCGAUGUGUUACGCCCAUGAGAUUUCAGGGUUAAUUUGUUACCUGGCCGUGGCCUAUCCUCUUCCAGCAGAUACAGAGGCUACUGCAGUUUGCAACUUUGCAGAUACCAGCAGAGGAAGAAAAACCUGGGAGACUGCUGCUAACCUAAUGUGGAGACUUGACUUAAACUUCAGCCAGACAAAGGCGGAAUCUUAAUAUGGAGGGGCCUGGCUCUGCAGGGAGGUCACCUGGGCUGGCUGGAUUUCAAUCCAGUUACACAGCAAAAAAGUUACAACCCA